rnacentral:snoRNA from 1 species
AACAUCAAUUAUCACGGACGGGUUUAAUGCUAGGUUUUGGUUUUUGCAAACCAUUUCCUUUAACUGUCUGACCGUGUAGAUAGAAUUAAGCUCAAUACUGGGCACCCAGGACUGAGAUCUACUCUGACGUUCCGGGAAUCAGUCGUACCUACAUGU